rnacentral:lncRNA from 7 species
AACAUUUCUUGUCAUCCAGUUCACCAACCGAGGUGAAUAGUGGAAAAUCAAACAAGCAUCCUCGCCCCAGGUUGUUGUCAGGAGGCUCGGUGACUCCACAGAUAUCGGGACAGGAGGGGGAAAUGAGACAAAUGGCAUAUUAGCUGAGAGACUUGCCCAUUUCUUCAUGGGAUGUAUCAAAGCCUGACUUCAGAAAGAUGCUUUUGGCUGAAAGAUUUCACUGAGCAGCAGGGAGACCCAGCAGCUGAUGUCUGUGUUUUCCAGACUAAAGUCUUCUAGAUGAGAGUUUGGAAUUUACAGAGCCUUGGCUGCAUAAGCAAAACACAGGUAAGUCUCCCUUCCUGUUUACUUUCCACGCUCCGAAGAGGAUCAGAUCAGCCUGUGGGAUGGGAAGGCAAGGAGAUGAUUAUUUUUGGAAGAUAGCGGGAAGAAGACAGGACAGGUAAAUAAUCAUCUACAGCUUCAAGGACUUCCAUUACAUUUCCUCCAGUGUAAACUUGCAGGGGAAAAAACCUGCUGUUACUUUACAUCUGUACAAAAGUAAAAGUGGACAAUACUCCAGCCUGUGCCAAACACCCCAGCUGAUGUCAUAAGGAGCCUUCUCAGAAGUGAACAACAGUGAUAGAGGUUUGUCCAUGGACAGAAGUGGAAAUGAAAUUUAUGAAGUUUGACAUAAUACACAUCUAUUCUCCUUUGGAGAAGUAAUCUCAGAGUGGUUCCCAUCUUCCAAUGACAUGUCUGCCAUGUGAAAGAGUCCUGGUCUUUUGAGAAGCCCCAAGGCUCAUCCUUCUAACAAGACCUAAACAUUACCUUUUAAUUCAGUUAUUUUUGUAUCAUGAAGGAGCCCAAAUCAAUAAACCUGGACUCAAGCAGGUACUACACUUUGGAUCUUUGAUCCACCCAUCCUUGGCAUUUUUGGUAGGGUAAAUAAAGUGUAUU